UUAAAAACGUUGAAAGAGAAAAGUAAGUAUAAAAAAAUGUCCUAAAGAGAGCGGGGGUAGCUGAAAACCUGCGGAUAAUUGUAUACCGAAACUCACUCUGGAGUUGCAGGCUGAAAUUAAUAGUAAGCUGUGCCGGCAUAGCCGUUAAUAUUAAUUAAGAUAUAAAUUUGGGUGGUACCGCGAAACAGUCUCCUCGCCCCAGGC
rnacentral:ncRNA from 1 species